rnacentral:tmRNA from 1 species
GGGGCUGACUGGCUUUGACAGCGUGCAGAAGCGGUGUGUAAGCGUGCAGAGCUUUGUAGCCUAUGCUCUUUAAUAUCAGGCUGCGAUCAAUUUUAAAUGGCGAAAACAACUACGCUCUUGCUGCUUGAUUGAAGCACAGUAGAUCAGCUUAAUCGCCGCAAUAGUUGCAGCGACAAGACAUCGCCCGACAGUCCUUUUUCCGAGACAGGUCGAUCAGGCGGUGCAGGAAUAUCGGAAAUAGGGAAUCCGGAGCCUCGACAGAUUCCCGAAGUUUUUGAGGAUAAGAUUGCGGUAGGUAGUUUCAGGCCGGCCUCAAUCCGAAAAUCAACUUGAAACUAAGCACGUAGAAAGCUCAUUGAUUCCACGUUUGGACGAGGGUUCAAGUCCCUCCAGCUCCACUA